rnacentral:rRNA from 1 species
CCUACGGGGGGCAGCAGUGGGGGAUAUUGCACAAUGGGGGGAACCCUGAUGCAGCGACGCCGCGUGGGUGAAGGAGCGUUUCGGCGCGUAAAGCUCUAUCGGCAGGGAAGAAGAUGACGGUACCUGGCCAAGAAGCCCCGGCUAAAUACGUGCCAGCAGCCGCGGUAAUACGUAGGGGGCACGCGUUAUCCGGAUUUACGGGGUGUAAAGGGGGCGUAGUCGGCAAUGCAAGCCGGGAGGGAAAGCCAGGGGCCCAACCCCGGGACUGCUGUGGGAACUGGCUGGCUGGAGUACGGGAGGGGCAGGCGGAAUUCCGAGUGUAGCGGUGAAAUGCGUAGAUAUGAGGAGGAACACCGAUGGCGAAGGCGGCCUGCUGGACAGGAACUGACGGUGAGGCGCGAAAGCGUGGGGAGCAAACAGGAUUAGAUACCCGAGUAGUC